rnacentral:rRNA from 1 species
UUUAAUUGAAGAGUUUGAUCAUGGCUCAGAUUGAACGCUGGCGGCAGGCUUAACACAUGCAAGUCGAGCGGUAGCACAAGAGAGCUUGCUCUCUGGGUGACGAGCGGCGGACGGGUGAGUAAUGUCUGGGAAACUGCCUGAUGGAGGGGGAUAACUACUGGAAACGGUAGCUAAUACCGCAUAACGUCGCAAGACCAAAGAGGGGGACCUUCGGGCCUCUUGCCAUCAGAUGUGCCCAGAUGGGAUUAGCUAGUAGGUGGGGUAAUGGCUCACCUAGGCGACGAUCCUAGCUGGUCUGAGAGGAUGACCAGCCACACUGGAACUGAGACACGGUCCAGACUCCUACGGGAGGCAGCAGUGGGGAAUAUUGCACAAUGGGCGCAAGCCUGAUGCAGCCAUGCCGCGUGUGUGAAGAAGGCCUUCGGGUUGUAAAGCACUUUCAGCGAGGAGGAAGGUGGUGAACUUAAUACGUUCAUCAAUUGACGUUACUCGCAGAAGAAGCACCGGCUAACUCCGUGCCAGCAGCCGCGGUAAUACGGAGGUGCAAGCGUUAAUCGGAAUUACUGGGCGUAAAGCGCACGCAGGCGGUUUGUUAAGUCAGAUGUGAAAUCCCGGGCUCAACCUGGGAACUGCAUUUGAAACUGGCAAGCUAGAGUCUCGUAGAGGGGGGUAGAAUUCCAGGUGUAGCGGUGAAAUGCGUAGAGAUCUGGAGGAAUACCGGUGGCGAAGGCGGCCCCCUGGACGAAGACUGACGCUCAGGUGCGAAAGCGUGGGGAGCAAACAGGAUUAGAUACCCUGGUAGUCCACGCUGUAAACGAUGUCGAUUUGGAGGUUGUGCCCUUGAGGCGUGGCUUCCGGAGCUAACGCGUUAAAUCGACCGCCUGGGGAGUACGGCCGCAAGGUUAAAACUCAAAUGAAUUGACGGGGGCCCGCACAAGCGGUGGAGCAUGUGGUUUAAUUCGAUGCAACGCGAAGAACCUUACCUACUCUUGACAUCCAGAGAACUUAGCAGAGAUGCUUUGGUGCCUUCGGGAACUCUGAGACAGGUGCUGCAUGGCUGUCGUCAGCUCGUGUUGUGAAAUGUUGGGUUAAGUCCCGCAACGAGCGCAACCCUUAUCCUUUGUUGCCAGCGGUUCGGCCGGGAACUCAAAGGAGACUGCCAGUGAUAAACUGGAGGAAGGUGGGGAUGACGUCAAGUCAUCAUGGCCCUUACGAGUAGGGCUACACGUGCUACAAUGGCAUAUACAAAGAGAAGCGACCUCGCGAGAGCAAGCGGACCUCAUAAAGUAUGUCGUAGUCCGGAUUGGAGUCUGCAACUCGACUCCAUGAAGUCGGAAUCGCUAGUAAUCGUAGAUCAGAAUGCUACGGUGAAUACGUUCCCGGGCCUUGUACACACCGCCCGUCACACCAUGGGAGUGGGUUGCAAAAGAAGUAGGUAGCUUAACCUUCGGGAGGGCGCUUACCACUUUGUGAUUCAUGACUGGGGUGAAGUCGUAACAAGGUAACCGUAGGGGAACCUGCGGUUGGAUCACCUCCUUACCUAAAGA